UACAUAAAGUUUUUGCAGUAUUGUGAUCGCUUCUUCGUAGUUCGUGGCUUCGCUUAUAUAUGUAUAAAUAUUUGGUGAUAUAUGAUUUACCAAAAGCUGAAACUUUAUGCUGUCCCAUUCUGACGGAGGAACCGACUGUGCAUCUGUUUCUGAAGCGGUCGGUUUCUGCACGGAAAUGAAGCUUUCGAAAGUCUUACGCCAGUGUAUCCAAGCUCUCGUACUAGAGCUAUCUGACGGGUCGAUAUCAAAUCUUUCAGGGCGAAGAUAUUUAUCCAUGUUGCGUUAUUAGCUUAUUAAAUUGAAAUAAGAGAAAACCUUUCAUGAAUAUAAGGUUUUAAUAAGCUAAAAUUAACACUAAAAUAUGUUUUGGUUACAUUAGAUACAUUGACAUAGACACUAACAAAACAGAGUGACAAUGUCAUCAAGUUAUGGCUGAUAGUUUUAAGCAAGAAGUUUACAAGUUUAGUUUUAAAAUUAUUAAUAUAAGAAUGCUUAAGGCUAUUUAAAAGACUCAAAGAGUCUGUCAAAAUUAGAAAAUAUUUACAAUUAUUUAUAGAAAUUAUAGAUUUUAAAGCGGCAAACACUGCAUAUGCCUCUGCUGUAAAUAUGGAGCACUUUUUAUCGAGAGCAAAGCUUUGAGCAACAUCUUUUUGGGAAUCAUAUACCGCACUUCUCACAAAAUCAUUGCCUUUACUGCCUCAGUGUAGAUUGUAUAAUACUUGUUAUUUUCUUCUAUAAAAGCCAGUAAAUCUGAAUUAUUUUCGAUUGAAUUUGAUAAAAUCGUAAUAGGAUGAGUGAUACAACUGUGUGAAUGAGUGUAACACGACCAGUGUGAAAGUUUUUUGAUGUUCGAAUAAUGAGAUUGUAUUUCUAAGAAGAUCUGGCACAGAGUUGGAGAUGUACCUCUCAGGAGAUCAUUUGGUGAAGUGAGUGGACCAUCUAUAUUGAUUGGAUCCGAUAUGAGAGAAAUGAAGCUAUCAACACAACUUCUUCCUCUGCGAAAUCCAUAUUGAAUGUGUGGAAUGACAUUAUUGGAUUCUGCAUACCAGUCAAGUCGAGAUUUCACCAUAUUUUCAAAUAUUUUUCCAAUACAUGAUGAUAACGAGAUUGGAUGAUAAGAACUGAUCUGUUCAGGUGACUUAUCUGGUUUUAAUAUAGGUAUUACACAUUGAGUUUGCCAUGAACUUGGUAUGAGUUUUUUAUGCCAUAGAUUAUUAAGAACAUUCAAAAAUAGCUUUUGUACAGAUUCAGAUAGAUGUUUUAUUAAUAAAUAUGGAAAAUCAUCUAAACCAGGACUAGUAUUUCUUCUAGAUUGUAUACUCAUUAAAAGUUCAGACCAUGAAAAAGAAUCCAAUAAAAAAUUAGAUUGAGGAUUUUCAUUGUUAAUAUUAAAAUAAUUGUCUAAUGAAUUUGGGUCAAGUAAAUUGUUACUAUCUGAUAACUUAUCUAAAAGUGGCUCUACAAAUUCAUCCCUAUAUGAUUUAUUACCAAUUCUGAUACCCUUAAACUUUUUAAUGAGAUUCCAAAUUUUACUGAUGGGUGUAGUUCUAUUGAAACUAUUGCAAAAACCAUUCCAACUGAUUCUUUUUUGCUCCUUUAUAGUGCGUUUUUUUAAAGCAUCUAAUCUUUUAUAGUUGAUGUAAUUAUAUUCUGUUGAAUCAUUUCUAUACAAUUUCAAGGCUUUGUAAGAUUGUAUUACGGCUUGUUCACAUAUACUGUUCCACCAAGGGGCUGGUGGUCUACUCCUAAAGUUAGUCCUAGUGAAUCUAGGAACUGCCAUGAGUUUGAGUUUAUUGAGCCGGUUACAAAACUCAUCAUAAGAUUUUAUUGGACUCUCUUCACUAACCAUCAUGUCAUGGAAGACCAAACCAGACAAUUCACUAUACUUUGUCCAAUCUGUUUUAUCAUAUAAAAAUCUGUCAACAUGUUUAUUAAUUAUGUAUCUUUCAAUGCACAUUGUAAUGUUUGUUAUGGUUGGAUAAUGAUAACUACCCAUAGCAUCAUCAUGUACUGACCAUUCACAAAGAGGAGCCACACAUGGACUAACAAAGCUUACAUCUAUUGCUGAAGGGUUGCGUGUAGGAUAAUUUACUGUAGUAAAGCUACCAUUAUUCAAAAUACAUAAAUCACAUUCAUCAAUUAUAUUAUAUAAGUUAUUCCCUCGACUCUUCGUAGACAUACAUCCAAAAGCAAUAUGAUGUGCAUUGAAAUCACCACUUAUAAAAAGAGGCUUCGGUAAUUCUCUUAUAAUAUUGUGCAAUCUAUUCAUUCUUAUACUCCUUCGUGACGGAGGACAGUACACACAAAGAAUAGACAGUGUAGUAUUUUCUGUGUAUAUACUCAUGGCUAUAGUUUGAAUAUCUUCAUAAAAAGUAGUAUUUAUAACAUUGUGUUUCAAAUAUGGUUUAAUUAAUAUUCCUACACCAUUACGAGGAUUUUUUGAAUUUUUAUUGUAGAAAUUAUAACCGGAAAUAUAAAAAGAUUGAUGGUCUUUUAACCAUGUCUCAUUUAGUAAACAAAUAUCAAUAUUAUUUUCAUUUAAGAAUUUUGUAAGAAGAUGUUUUUUAUGAUUUGCACCUUGAACAUUAAAUUGCGCAAUACGUAGAGGUGAUGUUGUAUAUGGUUGUGUAUCCAUUAUAUUGACAAAUUUUUAAUAAGUAUAUCUUUAAUAAAUGUUGUAGUUAUAGGCUCAUUAUCAUUCUUAUUACCUAUUUGAACCAGUGUUUGUACCAGGGCCAUAAGUACAUCACUGUUUGCAAUUAUUUGUGAUUUUAUAUCAUUAAUACUUACAGCCUGUGAGACAGGCUUAAUAUUUACAGAUUUAUAUAUAUAUUUGGGUGCAUUAUUUACACUAAUCACUUUUUUAUUUACAGGGUUGGAGCGUGGUGGAAGGGGAGGGAACUCAUUGUUAUCUUUUGUGCUGGCAAUGCUUGCAUAUGUUAUUUUAUUUUUCUUUUCUAGGAUUUUAUUCAUUUUUAUUGGACACAUUUUGGAUAUUGCUAAAUGAGGUCCACUGCAAUUUACACAGCAAAUCUCAUUUUGUUUAUUGCAGUCUUUAUAAGAAUGUUCACCUGAACAAAUAGAGCAACGCUGUUUGCCAUUACAAAUUUUAGCAUAAUGAUUAAAUUUCAUACAUUUGAAACAUUGUUGGAGGGGAGGUAUAUAUUCAAACACUCUGUAAAAAAAUAAAUCAUAUUGGACACUCUCAGGUAAAGAGUUUGCCAAAAAUGUGAUACUAACAGUUUGUCUUCCGACUAAUUCAUUGCCAAUUUUUUUCAUAAAUCUCCUAACUGCAAUUAUUUCAUUUGUAGAAGUUAAUUUCGUAAAUAGUUCUUUAUUUGAUAUACUUGCAGGCACAAAUCUGAUAAUACCAGUUUUUUCAAUUUGAGCUGCUGGAAUAUAUGCUUUCAUAUCAUGUUUCUCAAGAAAAUGUAUAUUGUGUAUCAAGUUAUUAGCUGUAUUAUGUUGUUUAAAUAUGACAACAAUUUUAUUUGCGCUAAUUCGCCUUAUUGCCACCACGCCUUUAAUUUCGGAGAAUAUGUGGUUUAAAUAUAUUG